rnacentral:rRNA from 1 species
AACCGAAGGUCGAAGGGAGAAAUUCAUUCGCGUUUCGAUAUUGGCGAUAGGAUGUUGUGCGACGCGAAAAUGUUCGCAUUUUUGCGCACCUUCAUUUUAUUCGAUCUGGUAACGAACGCGUGCACUUUUCUCCUGGUAGGACGUCGCGAUCCGUUGGGUGUCGGUCUACGGCAUAUAGUGGAGCCCAUUUGUACUUCGUGUUCGAAUGGACCUAUAUGUUUCCUGGCCGACUCGCUCGACGGUAUAAGAAAGGUUUAUGGCCGCUGCUUGACAGCGUUCGACUUAUGACAAGCGNGUUAGAAGUGUUGACAAUCGGACCUAGUGCCGGUUUUGACCUCUAAUGACUGUUGGUUGUAAAGUUCUCGAACAGACCAUAUAUUUAAAACCGAUCUGCGGCGCUAUAGCUUUGGGUAAUUWCAGGACCCGUCUUGAAACACGGACCAAGGAGUCUAGCAUGUGCGCAAGUCAUUGGGAAUYACUAAACCUAAAGGCGUAAUGAAAGUAAAGAUCUUUCUUGCAAAGAUCGAGGGAAGACAGGCGAUUUGUUUCACGACAAUCGUUUAGCAUUCCCGGGGCGUCUCAUUCUCAUUGCGAGACGAGGCGCACCAAGAGCGUACACGCUGGGACCCGAAAGAUGGUGAACUAUGCCUGGUCAGGACGAANUCAGGGGAAACCCUGAUGGAGGUCCGUAGCGAUUCUGACGUGCAAAUCGAUCGUCGGAACUGGGUAUAGGGGCGAAAGACUAAUCGAACCAUC